rnacentral:rRNA from 1 species
ACUCAAAGGAAUAGACGGGGACCCGCACAAGCGGUGGAGCAUGUGGAUUAAUUCGAUACUAACCGAAGAACCUUACCCAGACUUGACAUCGAUCGCAAAGCGUAGAAAUACGCUCCUCUCCCACAAGGAGACGUGAAGACACUUGUUGCAUGGCUGUCGUCAGCUCGUGCCGUGAGGUGUACGGUUAAGUCCGCCAACGAGCGCAACCCUCGUCCUGUGUUACCAGCAUGAAAGAUGGGAACUCACAGGAGACCGCCGGCGUAAGUCGGAGGAAGGUGGGGAUGACGUCAAGUCAGCAUGGCAGUUACGUCUGGGGCUUCACACAUGCUACAAUGGGCGCAACAGAGGGCAGCGAUACCGCGAGGUGGAGCCAAUCCCAAAAAUACGCCCCCAGUUCAGAUUGCAGUCUGCAACUCGACUGCAUGAAGGCGGAAUCGCUAGUAAACGCAGGUCAGCUAUACUGCGUUGAAUACGUUCCCGGGUCUUGCACACACCGCCCGU